AUACAUGUGUGUGUGUGUAUAUAUAUAUACAUUAUUUUUUAACUGUUGUUUCAGGGUGAAGAUGGAAGCGCUGGUUUACCCGGCCACCAUGGUCCUGAAGGCCCCCCAGGUUUACCAGGACUGCACGGACCCAAGGGAGAAUCCAUGUCAUCGGGCCAUUCGGGAGGACCACCGGGGAUUCGCGGAAUGCCUGGAGUGCCGGGAAAAGACGGGCUUCCUGGGGAGUAUGGGAGGCCUGGGGACGAAGGGCCCUUUGGCCCUGCUGGCCUUCCAGGCAGACCUGGGACCCCGGGGUCCAAGGGACAAGGAGGGAGCAGUGGGGCGCGUGGACCGCCCGGCAGGAGGGUACCAGACUGCUUCAUUGAAGACACAACAACACAUCACACUCACAGUCGGAGCACAGCAUAAGAUCACAGUGCUACAGAUAGGAUACCCAUAG
rnacentral:lncRNA from 1 species